rnacentral:rRNA from 1 species
GUGCCAGCCGCCGCGGUAAUACCGGUGGCUCGAGUGGUGGCCGCUAUUAUUGGGUCUAAAGGGUCCGUAGCCGGCCUGAUAAGUUACCUGGGAAAUCCGGUGGCCUAACCAUCGGGCGGCCAGGUAAUACUAUCAGGCUCGGGACUAGGAGAGACCAGAGGUACUCAUGAGGUAGGAGUGAAAUCCUGUAAUCUUAUGAGGACCACCAGUGGUGAAGACGUCUGGUUAGAAUAGGUCCGACGGUGAGGGACGAAGGCUGGGGGCGCAAACUGGAUUAGAUACCCGGGUAGUCCCAGCAGUAAACGAUGCCAGCUAUGUGUUGCUGGAACCAUGGGUUCCAGCAGUGCCGAAGGGAAGCCGUGAAGCUGGCCACCUGGGAAGUACGGUCGCAAGGCUGAAACUUAAAGGAAUUGGCGGGGGAGUACCACAACCGGUGGAGCCUGCGGUUUAAUUGGAUACAACGCCGGGAAUCUUACGGGAGGGGACAGCAGUAUGAAGGCCAGGCUAAAGACCUUGCCAGAUCAGCUGAGAGGAGGUGCAUGGCCGUCGCCAGUUCGUACCGUGAGGCAUCCUGUUUAGUC